GAUCCUGGCUCAGGAUGAACGCUAGCUACAGGCUUAACACAUGCAAGUCGAGGGGCAUCAUAGUCAAAGCUUGCUUGAUUGAUGGCGACCGGCGCACGGGUGAGUAACGCGUAUCCAACCUUCCCCUUAGUAGGGCAUAGCCCGGCGAAAGUCGGAUUAAUACCCUAUGUUGUGUCAUGAGGGCAUCUGAAUAACACUAAAGAUUUAUCGCUAAGGGAUGGGGAUGCGUCCGAUUAGCUUGCCGGCGGGGUAACGGCCCACCGGGGCGACGAUCGGUAGGGGUUCUGAGAGGAAGGUCCCCCACACUGGUACUGAGACACGGACCAGACUCCUACGGGAGGCAGCAGUGAGGAAUAUUGGUCAAUGGGCGAGAGCCUGAACCAGCCAAGUAGCCGUGCAGGAUGACGGCCCUAUGGGUUGUAAACUGCUUUUAUGGCGGGGAUAAAGUGACGUACGUGUACGUUUUUGUAGGUACCGCAUGAAUAAGGACCGGCUAAUUCCGUGCCAGCCGCCGC
rnacentral:rRNA from 1 species